UUCACCUCCGCCGGCGGUCUCCGCGCACGUGUCACGAAGUGUCGUCGGUGUCGUCAAGUAGCCGCAAAAGUCAAUACUCCCAUGAAAUGCGACGUUUGUGGCGUUGGCCUGUCUUCACUGGAAAAAUAUGUGGAGCAUCACAUCGCAGCGCACAAAUUCGCCGCCGACUACGUGCAGCAGGCGUUCCACAAAGAUAAAGAAUUCAGUGAAUGGAAAGCUCAGAAGAGGCGAACUGUUGGUUUGUUCUUCACACGGCUCCCAAAAAGCUGGCCAGUGGGGAAACGAGGAGCCACUACUACUCUAAUAGAUCAGGAGUGGCUAGGCCAAAGGAAGGUCAUGGUAAUCGUCGAGAAAAAAGUCAGGGUACCUGCAAGUCCGGUAAGAUAUGUCUUUCAUUUAUUACUGUGACGAAGAAGGAGAACACUCAGAGCCCGGCACCUGAAGAUAUCACCAUAAAUGUAAGGUACCAAAGAAAGCAUUAUGGCCAUAAAGCAGAAAUUCAGCACUUGAGGAUGAGUGACAAAGAAAAGGCCAACGGGGUUAACCAACGUAGCAGAGGACCUGGAGUGUGGUGUGCCCAUGAAAACCAUAUUGAAUAAUAUAAGAACAUCUGUUGGGGGCAUGUGAGCUGAGGCCAGCACAUUUGGCAGAAUGCAUAACUCUGCAUAACAUCAAACGGUAGUUUCACAUUGCUGCUCCUGAACAGUGUCACACCAAUGAUGCUGUCAGUGUAGAUAUGUGGGUGAAAGCAAUGUAAGACAAAGGUGAAACACUUGUCUGUCUGUAUAAGGCACAAGGUGCAGUGGACCCAACUGGUACUUUUGGUGCAACAGAUUUUGCCCUUGCUUUGAUGACAGAGCCACAAAAAGAGCUGUUAGAAGAAUUGGGCACGGGCACUGUGUGUCUUGACUCAACACAUGGAACUACAGGGUAACAGUUUGAGCUGACCACUCUUCUAGUGCUAGAUGAAGUGGGAUAAGGUAUACCUAUAGCCUAUUUCAUCUGCAACAGGAUGAAUGAGGAAAACUUGGCAGCUUUUUCAGGUCUCUUGAGUGUGCCAUCAACGAAAAAGUGGCUGCUAAGACAUUUAUGUCUGAUGACGCCUCACAAUUUUACAAGGCAUGGUCGUCAGUUAUGGGUGUCCCUCAGCAGAAACUUCUCUGCACCUGGCAUGUGGAUAGGAAUUGGCAGAAGAAGAUACAUGAGUUUGUAGAAAAACAACUGAGGCCAGACAUGUACCACAACGUGCGACUCCUUUUAGAGUUCCUUGACCAGCAAGAAUUUGAAAAGUAUCUUCAAUCAUUCCUUGACACUGAGGAAGAAAAACUGAGGGAUUUUCUGAAGUACUUCAAGGACAACUAUGCAGUUAGACCUCAAGAGCGGGCCUACUGCUUUAGGACGAGGGCAGGUAUCAACACCAACAUGCACCUUGAGAGCAUGCACAGGACGAUGAAGCACAGCAUGCUGGAAGGAAAGAAUAAGCGUGUUGAUAAACUAAUUUCUGCACUCAUGGACUUGACAUAUCAUUUUUUGAUGAAGAGGGCAAUCCAGAUGAUCAAAGGGCAAGAAGUUGAGUGCAGUUGAAAGGUACCACAGAUCUGGCACUGAAAUGGCAGGUUGUGCCAAAUUAAACGAAGACGGCACGUAGACUGUGCCAUCUCAGUCUACUAAAGGGCACUCUUAUACAGUGACAAAAGUCGGGGAUGCUGCUUGCUGUCCCUUGAGAUGCAAUGAAUGUGCAGUGUGUGCGCACCAGAUACACUUCAAAGUGUGCAAGCACAUUCACUGUGUGGUCAUUGCUAACACAUUGUCAAGCACUGACAAUGACGACUAUCAGAGCCCACCUGAAACUGUAACUGAAACGAGUCGGGCAUUGCACAUAGUGCAAAGCAUUGCAAAGCUGGAGGCGGCCACAACAGUGCCGAGCCAAAAGUCAUGGAUCGAUCUCGGCCGCGGCGGUCACAUUUCGAUGGAGGCGAAAUGGUAGAAGCCCGGGUACGUACGAUGGCAGUGCACGUUAAAGAACACCAGAUGGUCAAAAUUUCCGGAGCCCUCGACUACAGCGUGCCUUUACCUACCUCAUGGUUUUGGCACGUAAAACCCCAGAAAUUAUUAUUAUUAUUAUUGCCAAUGAUGACCACAUGCCUCAACAAAUAUGAAAAGUACUAUGUGUUGAUGUUGGCACUGGACCGAGGUUUCCACUAAAUAUAAAAUUUAAGUCACUCAUAUGUCUCAUCUGCUCUAUCUGACACAACUGCUGCUGUAAUUAAUAAUUGACUGGAAUGCAAAGUGUUCGAUUGGUGAACGUGCUGACCUGCCCAUUUCUCACUUAUGAUUUCUCAUUUCAGAUAUUGUAUUACUGAUUGUAGAGGUGUUAAAUGACAUUGAUUUCCCAAAGCUAUGGAGGAACCAAACCAGCAUUUUAAUAAAGCCUUAUUGUCAAAGCUUAA